UAACACAUGCAAGUCGAACGAAGUAGCAAUACUUAGUGGCAGACGGGUGAGUAACAUGUAGGUAUCUGCCCUUUGGCCUGGAAUAACACGAGGAAACUUGUGCUAAUACCGGAUAAGUCUUUACGGAGAAAGCUUUAUGCACCAUUGGAUGAGCCUGCACUUGAUUAGUUUGUUGGUGGGGUAAUGGCCUACCAAGACUAUGAUCAAUAGCUGAUUUGAGAGGAUGAUCAGCCACAUUGGGACUGAGACACGGCCCAAACUCCUACGGGAGGCAGCAGUGGGGAAUCUUGCACAAUGGAGGAAACUCUGAUGCAGCGAUGCCGCGUGAGUGAAGAAGGCCCUUGGGUUGUAAAGCUCUUUCGUCGGGGAAGAAAAUGACUGUACCCGAAUAAGAAGGUCCGGCUAACUUCGUGCCAGCAGCCGCGGUAAUACGAAGGGACCUAGCGUAGUUCGGAAUUACUGGGCUUAAAGAGUUCGUAGGUGGUUGAAAAAGUUAGUGGUGAAAUCCCAGAGCUUAACUCUGGAACUGCCAUUAAAACUUUUCAGCUAGAGUAUGAUAGAGGAAAGCAGAAUUUCUAGUGUAGAGGUGAAAUUCGUAGAUAUUAGAAAGAAUACCAAUUGCGAAGGCAGCUUUCUGGAUCAUUACUGACACUGAGGAACGAAAGCAUGGGUAGCGAAGAGGAUUAGAUACCCUCGUAGUCCAUGCCGUAAACGAUGUGUGUUAGACGUUGGAAAUUUAUUUUCAGUGUCGCAGCGAAAGCGAUAAACACACCGCCUGGGGAGUACGACCGCAAGGUUAAAACUCAAAUGAAUUGACGGGGACCCGCACAAGUAGUGGAGCAUGUGGUUUAAUUCGAAGAUACGCGCAGAACCUUACCAACACUUGACAUGUUCGUCGCGACUCUAAGAGAUUAGAGUUUUCGGUUCGGCCGGACGAAACACAGGUGCUGCAUGGCUGUCGUCAGCUCGUGUCGUGAGAUGUUGGGUUAAGUCCCGCAACGAGCGCAACCCUCACUUUUAGUUGCCAUCAUUAAGUUGGGCACUCUGAAAGAACUGCCAGUGAUAAGCUGGGGGAAGGUGGGGAUGACGUCAAGUCCUCAUGGCCCUUACGUGUUGGGCUACACACGUGCUACAAUGGUAUCUACAACAGGAAGCAAGACUGCGAAGUUAAGCAAAUCCCUAAAAGAUACCUCAGUUCGGAUUGCACUCUGCAACUCGAGUGCAUGAAGCUGGAAUUACUAGUAAUCGUGGAUCAGCGUGCCACGGUGAAUGCGUUCCCGGGUCUUGUACACACCGCCCGUCACACCAUGGGAGUUGGUUCUACCUUAAGGC
rnacentral:rRNA from 1 species